GCAGAAGCAGCUCUGUGGCUUUAUGUCUCUGCUAUUCCUUCUGUAAUGACUGGCAGCCCGCAGCACCUGGUAAACUGUGAAAUUUGGAAAUUAGUGCGCUGCUGAAAACAAAUUGCUUUGUUGAUGCAGAACGUCGGCGGAGAAAAAAGAGAAAGAGGGAAAAGUUAAGGAGAAACAAAAGAAAAUCAUCUUUGACAUUGGCUGUGGAAACGUGGGCUCGUCUCCGGCGUGCUUCGGUGUGAUCCACACUGCGUCUUCUGGUGUGCGAACACGGGGUCGCCCCGACUGAUGGCACGGACCCACCGGGCAGCAACGCAGGAGAGAGGAACGUCUUGGCAUUCGGCCACGAUGAUGAUGAGCACCCAGGGUGCACCUCCUCCCCCUCCUCCUCUUCAUCCCACUCAUCCUCACUCCUCCCUCCUCAUCAAGCUCAGAACAAGGGGUUUCACAUUCUCUCUCUCACUCCCCCGCUCUUCUCUCUCUCUCUCUCUCUCUCUCUCUCUCUCUCUCUCUCUCUCUCUCUCUCUCUCCCAAAGACCCUAACACACCAAACCGAUGCCAACAUCGCCUCUUCGUCUGCCCCUGUCUUAACCAAACGGUUGGACUUGAACGCACCGCAAAGUCUAUAGCCACUGGCCAAUCAGCACAUACGUUCUACACCGGCUUGUGAGGAAAUCGUCAGCCUCCCUACCAGCAGGUGGUGGUAGUCUGUAUUUGUCAUUCAAAAGGGUCACUGGAAGUCCUAUUGGUGGUGGGCCUCCUAUUUAAAUUUUGAAAUGUUUGAGAAAUAUUGAAAUUAUGAUCUUCAGUUUUCUUCAUCUAAAGCUUUUUUUUUUCUUUGUUGUCUCAAGUUGAUCAUACUUUUUAAUGAAAAAUAAACGAUAAGACAAAUGCUAGGGACUACUAAUAUCAAAGGUGCGAGACA
ensembl:lncRNA